rnacentral:rRNA from 1 species
UACCAUGCAGUCGAACGGUAACGCGGGGCAACCUGGCGACGAGUGGCGAACGGGUGAGUCCUAUAUCGGAACGUGCCCAGUAGUGGGGGAUAGCCCGGCGAAAGCCGGAUUAAUACCGCAUACGACCUACGGGUGAAAGCGGGGGAUCGCAAGACCUCGCGCUAUUGGAGCGGCCGAUGUCAGAUUAGGUAGUUGGUGGGGUAAAGGCCUACCAAGCCGACGAUCUGUAGCUGGUCUGAGAGGACGACCAGCCACACUGGGACUGAGACACGGCCCAGACUCCUACGGGAGGCAGCAGUGGGGAAUUUUGGACAAUGGGCGCAAGCCUGAUCCAGCCAUGCCGCGUGCGGGAAGAAGGCCUUCGGGUUGUAAACCGCUUUUGUCAGGGAAGAAACGCUCUGGGCUAAUACCCCGGGGUAAUGACGGUACCUGAAGAAUAAGCACCGGCUAACUACGUGCCAGCAGCCGCGGUAAUACGUAGGGUGCAAGCGUUAAUCGGAAUUACUGGGCGUAAAGCGUGCGCAGGCGGUUAUGCAAGACAGAUGUGAAAUCCCCGGGCUUAACCUGGGAACUGCAUUUGUGACUGCACAGCUGGAGUGCGGCAGAGGGGGAUGGAAUUCCGCGUGUAGCAGUGAAAUGCGUAGAUAUGCGGAGGAACACCGAUGGCGAAGGCAAUCCCCUGGGCCUGCACUGACGCUCAU